UUUCCCUUUGGUCUCUCAGGUCCCACACCCACUGGUAUUUGCAGCAGUCACUUCAUUGUGUAUUGUUACCAAGUUGGACAAUUCGCAAAAUCUGACUGCUAAAUUAUGAAGAUGAAGGCUCAAACUUCCAAACUCAGGCCAGAGAAGACAACUCUCUUGCAUCACAGUAAUGCCAGGCCUCAUACCAGUUUGAAAACAAUGAUGCUGGCUGUCCCAGCACACCCACUGUAUAGUCUGGAUUUGGUGUCUUCUGACUUCUGCUUUGGGCUUACAAAAGAUGGACUGCGUGGGCAACAUUUUUCCUAGCAAUUCUGCCAUCUUAGCAGCUGUGAAACAGUGGGUCAACCCCUCUGGUGAAGAUUUUUAUGAGUGAGCAUGUAGGCUUUUGUUUAUCUCUGGGUAAAAUGCAUAGCUAAUGGUGUUCACUAUGUUGAAAAAUACUGUUGUGUAGCUGACAAUAUUCUCUAUCAAAUAGUGUUAUUGUGCUCACUGUAUGUGUUUUAGUUCUCGUGGAAAUAAACAGGAGGCAUUACUUUCAGUGUAACAUAUGUGCAUCUUCUAAGUAUGGACAGAUAGGAUGCAUGUUCCAUCAUUAAAAGUUUAGUUAUCAUAUAUCUGUCCCCAUACUUUAACAACUUUUGCAUUAUAAUCAUGAUUGUCAGUAAAGGAAGGAUGUCUAGGUGGGUUCUUAGAUUUCCAAAGCUUCCAGGGAAUAAAAACAGAGACAGUUUUUUUUCCAAGAAUUAAUGUUAUCUUUCUGUGACAGUUAAAUCAACCAAUACAACAGUAACUUUGUGGUAUAAUGUGUAAGACCAGAAGGUACAUUAACCUUUUGUAGAAAUUAUAGCAUUUUGUGUUGAUUGGUCCUCCACAUGACAGCUCUUUGUUUGCAGUGUGUGAUCUCUUCUAUGAAAUAUGUUGUUUUUGAAGAGCUAUUGUAUAACAUGCCUUUCAGUUCACAAAGGAGGGGAUGGCAUAUGCCACGGGGAACUGCAAAUCUCUCUCAGAUUUUAUAAAAGCAAUUUCAUUACUGUUAUGUGCUUUCCUACACAGUUUUCAAUUUUUGAAACAGGGAAACUGCCCAUUUUGCUCAUCCAGUCUAAAAAUUCAGAAGUUGCUAAAAAAUUCCUCAAGCUGAAUAUGCUGGGAAAUCUUCACUUUUCCAUUUUCUUUUUAAAAUUCAAGGUUAAAGUUUUUAAUAAUUCCUGAGAAUUGCUAGUUAUAUUUGCCAAGUUUUAGACUCUUUGGUGGAAGAGUGAGCAUAUUGUAUUCUCUUGUAUAAAAUGGGAAAUGUUACUGGCACUGGUUUAUAUAUGUCAGGGUUAAAAAUACUAUAUUUAUGUCUAAUUACAAUCCAUUUACCAGCUUCCAGGUGAUAUGUGCCCUAGGAAUGUUAGAACUCCACAUAAUGUCCCUGAUUUCUAGAUUUGCAUUUGGAUAUUGGGAGUAGCUGAAAAAAAUGUUAAACCACAUGUGCUAUAAUAAAAAAAAAAACUUCCUGUUGCCU
ensembl:lncRNA